CGCCUAAACCUCGGUAUUUUGCUGUAGGCACGGCAACCAAAUUCCCAACCACGAUAGUAAGCUCCUCAUGGAGCACUCGUGGUUGGGUCUAUAGCCGAAAGGUAUGGGGUAGUCCGAAAGGGCUAUC
rnacentral:sRNA from 1 species